GACGAACGCUGGCGGCGUGCCUAAUACAUGCAAGUCGAGCGAAGUUUUUCUGGUGCUUGCACCGGAAAAACUUAGCGGCGAACGGGUGAGUAACACGUAAAGAACCUGCCUCAUAGACUGGGACAACUAUUGGAAACGAUAGCUAAUACCGGAUAAUAGCAUUAACUGCAUGGUUGAUGUUUAAAAGUUGGUUUUGCUAACACUAUGAGAUGGCUUUGCGGUGCAUUAGCUAGUUGGUGGGGUAAAGGCCUACCAAGGCGACGAUGCAUAGCCGACCUGAGAGGGUGAUCGGCCACACUGGGACUGAGACACGGCCCAGACUCCUACGGGAGGCAGCAGUAGGGAAUCUUCCGCAAUGGGCGAAAGCCUGACGGAGCAACGCCGCGUGAGUGAAGAAGGAUUUCGGUUCGUAAAGCUCUGUUGUUAGGGAAGAAUGAUUGUGUAGUAACUAUACACAGUAGAGACGGUACCUAACCAGAAAACCACGGCGAACUACGU
rnacentral:rRNA from 1 species